CACACAUACAAACAAAACCACAACACAGAAACUGGAUAACGUAACAUACGGGCUGAGUCAUGUGUCAAUGCAAUAAAUCCAACUCCGAUGCAUUCCACAACAAAAUAUAAUUUUGCAUACUAAGUCUUCUAUAGUUAAUUUUGUUUCGGUAUGUUGCAUUGAAAGUGGCUAAUAUUGUGUUGAUUCGACAGGGAAAACACUAUAAAUUGAGUGAUGUUUAAUCUGGUGCUUCUCUCCAUGGGCUGAUAUUUCUUCUGUGUGGCAGUCCUGGGGUGCAGUUCCCCAGUCUCGGGCUACAGCAUGCCCGCUUGCGGUAGCCCGAGACUUUUCUUGUAUGUCCUCAAGGCAUACGGCGGAAAGAGGAUGGAUGUGGAGUCAUUUUGGUCUGAUAGGUAUGGGGUGGACUCUUUCAGAGAGACCAUGCCACUUAACCACUUCUGAGAGACCAUGCCACUUAACCACUUCUGAGAGACCAUGCCACGGAACCACUUCAGAGAGACCAGGCCACAGAAUCACUUCAGAGAGACCAUGCUACUGAACCUCUUCAGAGAGACCAGGCCGUAUGUGUAGUAGCAGUAUGUCUAAUAGCAGUAUGUCUAGUAUGUCUAAUAGCAGAAUGUCUAAUAGCAGAAUGUCUAGUAGCAGUAUGUCUAAUAGCAGAAUGUCUAGUAGCAGAAUGUCUAGUAUGUCUAAUAGCAGUAUGUCUAAUAGCAGAAUGUCUAGUAGCAGUAUGUCUAGUAGCAGUAUGUCUAAUAGCAGAAUGUCUGGUAAGUCUAAUAGCAGUGUGUCUAAUAGCAGUAAGUCUAGUAGCAGAAUGUCUAGUAGCAGAAUGUCUAGUAGCAGAAUGUCUAGUAGCAGAAUGUCCAGUAGCAGAAUGUCUAAUAGCAGUGUGUCCAGUAGCAGAAUGUCUAGUAGCAGAAUGUCCAGUAGCAGAAUGUCUAAUAGCAGUGUGUCCAGUAGCAGAAUGUCUAGUAGCAGUAUGUCUAAUAGCAGAAUGUCCAGUAGCAGAAUGUCUAGUAGCAGAAUGUCCAAUAGCAGUAUGUCUAGUAGCAGUAUGUCUA
ensembl:lncRNA